UGGGGAAUAUUGCACAAUGGGCGCAAGCCUGAUGCAGCCAUGCCGCGUGUAUGAAGAAGGCCUUCGGGUUGUAAUGUACUUUCAGCGAGGAGGAAGGCGUUGUGGUUAAUAACCGCAGCGAUUGACGUUACUCGCAGAAGAAGCACCGGCUAACUCCGUGCCAGCAGCCGCGGUAAUACGGAGGGUGCAAGCGUUAAUCGGAAUUACUGGGUGUAAAGCGCACGCAGGCGGUCUGUCAAGUCGGAUGUGAAAUCCCCGGGCUCAACCUGGGAACUGCAUCCGAAACUGGCAGGCUAGAGUCUUGUAGAGGGGGGUAGAAUUCCAGGUGUAGCGGUGAAAUGCGUAGAGAUCUGGAGGAAUACCGGUGGCGAAGGCGGCCCCCUGGACAAAGACUGACGCUCAGGUGCGAAAGCGUGGGGAGCAAACA
rnacentral:rRNA from 1 species